GAACUCACUUAAAGGAGUAAGCCCAUUAUAUUAGAGUAUUAGGGUUUCAACACAUAGUCGCCAAACUUUCACUUCUCUCUGUCUCGCUCUCUCUCUCCUCACUCAAUCUCCUCCCUCCGUUUUUGUUCAGUUUUGCUUGAUAAUGUUAAAGAUUUGAAACAACGACGAGAAGAAUCUUAUCUUAUACUCUGAGAUCUGAGUUGAUUUGAUGAAUUAUGAGGACUGGAUUAGUGUUAAUGGGGAUAAUGAUGAUGGUAAAAAUGAUUGUUCAAUUGAUGGUGUUCGAUGUUUUCAAGCUAAAUUGGAGAACUCCGCUUUUUCUUCGCCCUCUCACUACCCGGCUUCCCCCAUUCCCUGUAACCUCUUCAAGAGAAAGUGUACAAACCAUCCAUCAAAGAAAUUGGGAACUGGUGAAGACUGGACCCCCAAUCAUGAAAGCUUUGUCGGGAUCUACAUAAUGCUUGUCUGUUGAUCACCAUGGAAGCUCCAUAUUAUAAUCACCUGAGAUGGUGGCAAAGUCCAACUGAAGGGCAAAGUUUAUCAAUUGAAGUAGUUGCUGCAUUGUUAAUUUGUUGAGCUAGUUGAUGAAUAAAAUUAGCACAAGAAAAGUCGCUCUUAUUUGAUACUCUAUUUUUUAAAAGUUUUAGUUAUUAGGUGAUAAUGACUGUCGGCUUAAUGCUGAUUGUAUAUGAUUUGUAUAAAAUAUAAAUUUCACUAUUUUUUUAAUGUAAAUUUAACUAAUUAAUAAUUGAUAAAAUGAUUGUGCAGGCAAGAGGUCCAACAUGU